CCCCUUGCGACCUGAGAAUGCGCUAGCGGCUAGCGCUACCCUCGCCCGCCGCCACCACCUAGACAUCGCUCACCUCCUCCCAUACCGCCAUGCGAUCCAGCCACGGUCGCCUGAAACCUCGCUGGGUGACUCCGAUAGGCCUCGUCCCAGCCGCCGCCAGAAGAGCUAUUCUACAUACGCCGAGAUGGAGAUGCCCACCUUCUCCUCCCUCCCCCUACCCUCGCCUCACGUGAUCCAACACCAACGCGAGGACGACCUCCUACGAUCCAGCCGCAGUUGCCGCGGAAUCUCGUCGGGACGAAUCCGCCCGGCCUCAUCCCAGCCGCCGUUGGUAGAGGUUAUUUUCCAUAGUCCAAGGUGAGAUUCUUUGUCCGAUGGUGCGAAUUUCGGCUGGUUCCAUGAGCACUUCGUUCCCCGUCGUGCAACCUUUGUUGAUUCGGAAAGACAGGGGCUGUCUGUUUAGCUAAUUCAAUCUGUCAUUGAUCAUGCUAAUUCUUGUUAUAUUGGAAAUAACAUGAACAUGCUGCUCCUUUUUCUAAUCACAAUACUUCUUAGUGGAGAGCUCGGGCGUCCGCGUCUGUGUGGAAGCAGAGCUCGGCUGUCGGCGACAGCACGGACGGCUGAUUUGUGACUGGUCGAAGGUGAUUGCGAGGAGAGAGAUGUGCUGCACUUAUGUCAGUAAUCAUGGUUUGCUGAACAUUUCAAUGCCCGCCUUGAGCAUGCAAAAAUGCUUUUGAAUGCCUCUUAGUCACAGAUCAAGUCACAAACCACAUCUCUU